AAGAGAGAAGGGCGGCUUGGAAGGAGGAAGCAGGAGACAGGAGCAGGCAGAGAGCACUGUGUGGAGUAAUGGAAAUCGCUUGGGGUCUCCACCCUGCAUCUGGGACAAGUCAUUAUUAAGAAACACUCACCUGGCCCAAGGAAGAACAGCGGGUGGCACCUUGUGUUAUUAGCAGAGACACUAACUCUCUGCCCCCCUGAGACCAGCACCACGCCCUCUGCUGCUGCUUCGGUAAAUAAGCCCCGACUCAGUGGCUUAAAUGACAGACAUGUUUUCCAGCCAGGCCCAGGACCAAGCUCCAGGAACUCUGCUUGGGACCUGCCCACAGCUUCCAGAGUCCAAACUUCAGGCCUUUCUGCCCUUGGUUCCUCAGACAUCUUUAGGUACAACAUCAGGAAUGAGCAUCUUUCUUCUGGAGCUGGAAGCUGUGGGAGAGUGUUUGGCUGAAGGGGCUGGGAUGCAUGCUUCUGAAGAAGGACCCUGGCUGUGUCUGAACAGAUUGGGACUCGAGAGCUGGAGGAUGGGGACUGGAGAGAUACCUCAGAGGAAAAAUGUAGUGCGGCCCUUACCGAAGUCUGAGUUGAUGGUGGAAUAGCCAACGAUCUUGGAGACCAUUAGGCUCUGCCUUCGGGGAGUCUUAUAAGCCACCCCAGACACAAGCCUCCGCGUUCAUACUUGCUAAUAGAUGCAUCAAACACUCAGUCCACUGCAUACUUUUGUGUCAAAGACUGGGGUCCACUCACUAACCCUCCCUUUCCAACAUUGCUAUUUUGUUUAGGAAAAAAAAUUCUUUAUUUGGACAAACAGUCUAGACUGAAGU
rnacentral:lncRNA from 1 species